rnacentral:rRNA from 1 species
GUGUCAGCCGCCGCGGUAAUACGAAGGGGGCUAGCGUUGCUCGGAAUCACUGGGCGUAAAGGGUGCGUAGGCGGGUCUUUAAGUCAGGGGUGAAAUCCUGGAGCUCAACUCCAGAACUGCCUUUGAUACUGAGGAUCUUGAGUUCGGGAGAGGUGAGUGGAACUGCGAGUGUAGAGGUGAAAUUCGUAGAUAUUCGCAAGAACACCAGUGGCGAAGGCGGCUCACUGGCCCGAUACUGACGCUGUAGCGCGAAAGCGUGGGGAUCAAACAGGAUUAGAAACCCCAGUAGUCC